rnacentral:rRNA from 1 species
UGAGGAAUAUUGGGCAAUGCCCGCAAGGGUGACCCAGCAACGCCGCGUGGAGGAUGAAUGUCGUAAGAUUGUAAACUCCUGUUAGAGGGGAAGAAUAGUACCGGUUGGACCGGUAUAUGACUGUACCCUCAGAGAAAGCCCCGGCUAACUACGUGCCAGCAGCCGCGGUAAUACGUAGGGGGCAAGCGUUGUCCGGAUUUACUGGGUGUAAAGGGCGCGCAGGCGGGAUAAAAAGUCAGUGGUGAAAUCCUACAGCUUAACUGUAGAACUGCCUUUGAUACUUUUACUCUUGAGUUCGGGAGAGAGAGACGGAAUUCCAGGUGUAGUGGUGAAAUACGUAGAUGUCUGGAAGAACACCAGUUGCGAAGGCGGUCUCUUGGUCCGACACUGACGCUGAGGCGCGAAAGCGUGGGGAGCAAACA